GCAGACAUAUUCCAGCCAAUCAGCAGCAGACCCUCCCUCCCAGACCCUCCCACCUCCUGGACAGCAUCCAUUUUGAAGCUGCAUUCUUAGUGAGCUGUCCAGGAGAUGGGAGGGUCUGGGAGGGAGGGUCUGCUGCUGAUUGGCUGGAAUGUGUCUG
rnacentral:miRNA from 1 species